GUGUCUGUGUCUGUGUCUGUCUUCCUGUGUGUUUUUAUUUUAUGAUAAAAAGGUUUAAAACUAAAUAAAUGAGUUUAGCAUAUCCUCAGAAUGACCCUGUAUGGCAGAUGCACCAGAAUGUGUGUUCUCCCACCAGGCCCGGAGUCUUGCUAUUUGCUGCUAAAUUAAUAUAUUACCUAAUGCAGAAACCACGUUAAGAACUCCAGCUUUCGGCUCCAACAGGAGCUUCUGAUGGGUUAAAGGCAACAUCUUGCUUUAAUUCCCCCCUUUUUCCCAUCCUCCCCCCACUCCCCACCACCACCAACUACAAAUGUCAGAAAUAAAUUAUUGAAACCAGAUGUAAGGUUUUUGGGUGCACAUUU
rnacentral:lncRNA from 10 species